rnacentral:rRNA from 1 species
CGAUGAAACUUAGCUGAUUUCUUCGGAAUGAAAUUAAGUGGAUUAGUGGCGAACGGGUGAGUAACACGUGAGUAACCUGCCUUACACAAGGGGAUAGCCUUUGGAAACGAAGAAUAAUACCCUAUAAAGUCAAUUUAUCGCAUGAUGAAAUGACCAAAGAUUUAUCGGUGUAAGAUGGACUUGCGUCUGAUUAGCUAGUUGGUGAGAUAAAAGCCCACCAAGGCGACGAUCAGUAGCCGGCUUGAGAGAGUGUACGGCCACAUUGGGACUGAGACACGGCCCAAACUCCUACGGGAGGCAGCAGUGGGGAAUUUUGCACAAUGGGGGAAACCCUGAUGCAGCGACGCCGCGUGAUUUAGAAGGCCUUCGGGUUGUAAAAAUCUUUUUUAUGGGAUGAAAAUGACAGUACCAUAAGAAUAAGGUCCGGCUAAAUACGUGCCAGCAGCCGCGGUAAUACGUAUGGACCGAGCGUUGUCCGGAAUCAUUGGGCGUAAAGGGUACGUAGGCGGCCUAGUAAGUUAGAAGUGAAAUAAUAUAGCUCAACUAUAUAAAGCUUUUAAAACUGUUAGGCUUGAGAGAUGAAAGGGAAAGUGGAAUUCCUAGUGUAGCGGUGAAAUGCGCAGAUAUUAGGAAGAAUACCGGUGGCGAAGGCGACUUUCUGGUCAU